UAGUCCACGCCGUAAACGAUGAUAACUAGCCGUUGGAUUUAUUCCAGUGGCGCAGCUAACGCAUUAAGUUAUCCGCCUGGGGAGUACGGCCGCAAGGCUAAAACUCAAAUGAAUUGACGGGACCCGCACAAGCGGUGGAGCAUGUGGUUUAAUUCGAUGCAACGCGAAAACCUUACCUACACUUGACAUACUUGGAAUCCUUUAGAGAUAAAGGAGUGCCUUUUGGAAUCAAGAUACAGGUGCUGCAUGGCUGUCGUCAGCUCGUGUCGUGAGAUGUUGGGUUAAGUCCUAUAACGAGCGCAACCCUUACCCUUAUUUGCCAGCGGUUCGGCCGGGAACUAUAAGGGAACUGCCGGUAAUAAGCCGGAGGAAGGUGGGGACGACGUCAAGUCAUCGUGGCCCUUACGUGUAGGGGCUACACACGUGCUACAAUGGGGAGAUACAAACGGUCGCUAAAGCGCGAGCUGGGAGCUAAUCCGAUAAAGUUUCUCGUAGUCCGAAUUGCAGUCUGGGAACUCGACUGCA
rnacentral:rRNA from 1 species